GAAAGCAGUAUGCAGAGGUAAAACUGUAUUUACCAGAGAAAAAAAAUCCUUGAGGCAGAAGGAGCAUGUUUUUUGCUACAGUAACUGAAGCCUGUGCUCUUAGCCUUUGAACAUAUGUGCAUCCUUAUUUUCAUAUAACCAAAUAAAAAAAUGCUGCAUGUAAGUGAAGAAAUAUUAUUUUGCUGUGACACUGACUGCUUAUUGCUCUGAAAAUCAAUCAUGUGAAAAGGAUGUAGGAAUUUUCAUGAGGCACUAUGUAACCUUGCACCAGACCUUACAAACUUGCUGUCACCGUGAUCACAACUAGAGCUCUUUUUUCUUGGCUUCUCUUUGGAGAUGCAGAAAACAGAUGAUGCUCAUCUAAUUAAGUAGGUUAACAAAGUUCCUCAGCUUUAAGAUAAUUUUUUUUUCUUAUGACAAAAUGGAACUAUAGCCUGUAAGUGUAAAGAGGAAGAAAGUCAUUCACCCUGUAAUAUUUUGGCAUUUGCUUUUCCAUGGGAGCAUCUACAUAUUUUUGAACUUAAUGACAUAACCUGCUGGACAGAGAAUUUACAAGACAUCUGGAGAAGUUAUGACCUCUUCAUGACGUAAUGAGCUCUAUCCCUACUUUG